GCCGCACACACGUGGGGGAAAAGGCUGAGGCCCGAAGUGGUAGGCGGUUCCGCAGCGGGUGCGCGCCCCCAGACCCGGCUGCAGAGGGAAAUCCCGUCCUUAGUUACACGCUCCUGAGAGUGCCGUGCGGUACCACUGCAGGCGGCAGGAGUCAUUGGUCGCGUCCGUUAAGUUGGACGGAGCCCACCGGCAGCUGAGGCGGCUACCAGUGAUGAUGGUGGAACACCCCACAAGUGCUUUUGUUCAAGGUGACUCUACAGGGCAGCUCUGUGAUCAGAUGGAACAACAUUGUCAUUCAGUGUGUUUUUGUUACUGAAAACUUUGAAAACGUUGAAGUGAGAAGAGCUGCUGCACCAGUGUGUGGUUAAAUUGGACCGUUUUGCUUUUCAGGGAUUUAUGCAAACACUUGUCUAUUUAAUUACAUCUAAUUUAAGGACAUGCAUCAAGCAUUCUGCUUUGAUCUGUGGCUUUCCCAACAUUCAGCAAAUGCCACAGGAAAGCCAAUGAAUGGCGCUUUUCUCAGUUGGUUUCAUGUCUUACCACACAUCCACACGACUCUGAUGGGAAACUGUAAACGAACUUGCAUUUACUCAAAAAAAAGGUUACUUGGAAAGCUUUGAAGAGCCUUUUGACAAACCUGUCCUGAAUUUCAAGCAGCUGACAACAUUUGAGGUUGGACCAUGGACCUUUCAUACACUUCCAUUGCACACAGUUCCCUGUCACAAACUGUGACCUGGUGUUUACAUCUCAAGCUGCGACUGUGUCUGCAGGUGUACAUUGGGAGACAAGAAAAGGCUGGGAGCAUCUUUCAUAGGUUUUGUUAAGCGUAACAUCAAGUUUCAGACCUUUGCUGUCCUAAGAAAACUGGGAAAUAUUCCCAGCUCUAUGUAAUGAAGAGCAUCUUUCUGUCUCCCAACCUGUGUGCUGUGGGCAGCAAUAGCUGUUGGUAAGGUGAGAUUAGCUGAGAGCGUGGUUAAGCAGGAGUUUGGAACAAUUGGUUAAUGCACCAGCUAUUGCAGGUUUACCAGGUAUAUACAUCAUUUCCACAGGUUUUUAUUUCCCCAGGGAAAGAAGUUUCUGGAGAGACAAAUCAAGAAAAAAUCCAGAUGAAAAACACAGUUUAUCUUCCUCCACCCAAGGUCAUCAUUCCAUGGCUGUGUGCAGGGAUUCUGGAGCAGUGCAGGCACUGCAUGGGACAGACAGCCCUCCACACAGCAGUGGGCCCAGUGGCAGCAGGCAUCCGGCCUGAGGUAGAGAACAUCAGAACUUCACAGUUACAUGAUUUCUGGGAAAGUUCUUACCAAAACCAGCAUCCAACCCUUGCUUUUGUACUGUCUCUAAUUUCCUCUUUCCCAUUCUCUCUUUCCUUUGCCCAUCCUUUACUGGGCAUUUCUUCCAUCUCUCCUCCUCUUUCUUCUCCUUUUCCCUGUUCCAGGCUUUUUCCUGACAACCUUUCCUCUCCUAAUGUUUACCUACCUUUGCUUGGGCCUCUCCUGCAGCUCCUGCCAGGCCGCCGGUUCCUGCUGCACUAAAUCAGUUCUUCCAGUCAAUGGCUCCUCUCAGUGACUCACAGGAGGUGCAAAUCCAGCGGGGCAAAUUAAGCAUAGCAACAUAGCAGCAGAAUAGCCAGAAGGCUUCAGCAGUGGGUUCAGAUUUUUUUUUUCUCGCUUUGAUUUGCUCAGUUUAUGCUGAAUUCUUUGAGUAUGGUAUUUCCUAUUUGUUUUCUUCCUUUUCCCCACUGCCCUCCCUUUAGCUGUGCUCACGCCUGUCAGCUUUUGUCCAGUAUGUGCUUUGCCUGUGGUUUCUAAUAUUUGUGGAUUUGUGCUUCACCGCUUCUGUGUACCGAGAGACACUUUGCUCUGUAGGCACACUGAUUUUACCUCUGGCUGCUGUCAAGGAGUUGCAAAGGUUCCUCUUCUGUGAAUGUGAAAAGGGAACUUGUGAGCCUGCUGACCCUGCAGGAAACCCAGACAAGUAAAAUUUGCAAUAUUAUUCAGUCGUUCUCAUUGCUUCUUCAAGAACCAUCUCUGCAGAUGGUCACUAGCAGUAUGUGCUUCAUGGCUUCUCACCCAGAACUGGAUGCAGAAAGGAAAGUAGUUAACAUCUACCUAGCUCCUUCAGCUUGUUCAAAGAGCCCAAAGCUCUUUCUUGCUGCUGCUCAAGGAGAUGGCAUUCAAUUUAAUUUAAUGCUACAGUAGCAGCUGCUGUAGCACUGGGAGGGCAUUCAGUUUCCUCAGCAAGGCAGGUGGGUUACUAAGGUACCUUACCCUGCUCUCACAUACAUGUGCUUUGACUCCAGGAUAUGCUCAGAAAACAGUAUUUGCAACGGGCACUUCCCUGUAUCUGAAGUUUUCAAUGAAAAAACUGUUACAGGCUGUGGCCUAAGCUCUCCUUGCCAUGUAAAUAAGUAAUGAAAGUCAGAUGGUCCUGGCCAGCACCUGGAUGCACAUGGACUUCCAAAUCACGUCUAUCUUCUUUAUGCAGUGAUUCUACUUGAAAUAUAAGUUGAAAUCUCUCUUUAUGUAUCUUAUAAAAAAAUUCUUUCUGCAGCUGUGUGUUGUGAGUUUUGCAGAAGGAAGCUGAGGCAUCAGGACACAGCUGCUUUCCCAGCACCAGCUAAAGAGUUGGACAUGGAUCCCAUAUGACCUCAGGAGAAACUUUUUCAUAGCUUCCAGCUUUGGCCCUCAGUGUGCAGGAUUCCCCUGUGGAGCUGUACUGCAUGUAAACUGACAUCUUUAUUAAAAUGAAAUGAGCAAGCUCAAAAGAAAAUUGGUCAUGAUCACGAAGAGUUACUGGAGCAGGGUUAACCUGAUUGCAAUCAACAGAGCAGUGCCUGAGCAAUUCUUGAUCAAAGAACACUUGUGGGCUGUGGUCCAUAAUGGAUUUCAGCUGUUGCCUGCCUCGUCCACCUUACUACACCUGAGAGUCAUUUGCCUUCUGCCUCUAUCUGUGUUGUGGAGCUCUACAGCUCAGAAUGUCUGCUCUUCAGUACAUUCAGGUUUGUUUUUACAUUUCUACAUUUAAAAUAUGUGGUAAAUUAUUCUUUCUUGGGUAUUGUGUUUCAUUACAGUCAUCAUCAAAGUUCCAUUCCCUUAAGGUCAGGUGAUAUUAGUACUAACAGAACUUUCUGCCUUUGUUCUGGUGCUUUCACUUCCUCUCUUCUGCUAAUGACCCAGGGACACGUUUUCUUGUCACUGAUAGGUGAGUAUUCAGAAGGUUUGCCUGGCUUUUGGUUUUUAGAACGUAAUUUUGUAGGUGUGUUUUUUUGUUUGUUAGUUUAAAAAGCAGUUCUUUUUCUUUGAGUACAACUAGAAGGAAGGUCCUGAGCUUUCAAGAUACCGAAGAUGUUUUUCCGCACAGUGAGUUCUGUUGAUUUUCAGGUUGCCUGCUGAAAAUGUCAUGGCAUCAAUCUCAGAACAGUGUAGAGUCCCCUGAGGUGCCUGUUGGCUUUGUCCACUGUCGUUACUCAUCCUCUGCUACACACACAGGCUUAUUAAAACACAGUGAGACUGUGAUUGUGUUUGUUGUCUUCCUGUUUAUUUCCAUUCUGUUCUAUUUGGACUCUUACCCUUCACCUACCAACUUUCAGUGGCAGCUGGUUGUGUUUUUUUCCUCUGUUGUGUUUGUUUAUUUUAUGACACGCAUGAGCUAACUGAAAGAAGGAAGCCAGGCUAGGGCUGCCCUGCUGGAGAUCAGCUUUUUGCACAGUUCUCUGGCACGUGCCCCUCACUUCUGGUCAGUGAUAGCAUAGUGAAAAAGUCAAUAGCAGACAAAUAAGUAGACACGAUGUCAUCCUUGCAGAUAGGGAGGACUUAAAGGCAGCCAGCAGAUCCUGUAUGUGUUUUGAGAAUGUUUCUGGAGACAGAGUUAUGAUCCAAGAAUGUGCAAAUAGCUGCCCAUCCCAGUCUUACGUGUCUGCAAUUAAAGAGAAGUGCUAAACUAUCUCCAGCCUUGAAUAGCAUACCAAAUCUUAAAGGUGCAUCUUGCUCUAUUGAACUGGUUGAGGAAUUUUUCUUGAGGAGUGAAGAACAAACUAUUUGAAUGGAAUCUCUUCUUCAGUUUAUCUCUGCCAGAGACUAAAAUAGAGCUGGUGGGUGAGACCUGGUAGGCUGCCCGGUGAAAGGUUGCAUGCGUUGCUCCAAGCCCUUGUGGAGAUUCAGGACAGAGGAGCCCACCAGUGACUGCGGACUCACCGGGAUGGAAGAUCUCUUUGAGUCAGCCAGGAAGCACGUUGAUGUCUGCUGCCCACUGUUUUCCCACAGAUCAUGUCCUUAGGAAGUAGAAGGUUAGCAGGGCUAUCAGCAGACUACUCUGGUGUGGAGACUUUUUUACGAUUGCGUUAACGUUUCUUUUCCUGUUGUUGUACAGAAAUUAUGACUCUGAGUGUCAAUGUUGAGAUGAAAGCAGAAACCCUUUUGCAUGGAGGAAACACUAAAAGCUACAUUAUUCAUUUAAAAAUAUAUUUUAAAGAAAUCGUGCUGACAGGCAGCUAUUUACUUUUGGGGGGUGUUUAUUCAUUAUUGAUUUUCUUGGAAUCAUAGAAUUGUUUGAGUUGAAGGGGACCCCUAAAUGUCAUCUUGUCCAGCUCCCCUGCGCUCUGCAGGGACACCUACAGAUCAGGUUCUCAGAGCCCUACCCAGCCUGACCUUGCAUGUCUCUAGGGAUGGGACAUCCACCUUUUCUCUGGGCAACCUGUGCCAGUGCCUCACCACCCUUACUGGAAAAAAAAGCUUCAGCCAGUCUCUCUAUUCGUUUGAAACUAUUUCUCCUUGUUCUGUCACAACAGAUCAUGACAAAGAAUCUGUGCCCUUCUUUCUUACAGCCCUCAUUUAGAUACUGAAAGGCCGCUCUCAGGUCUCCCUGGAGUCUUCUCUUGGGGCUAAAGAGCCCCAGCUCUUAGCCUCUCCUUUCAGGGAAGGAUUGGAUUGUUUCUAGGGCCCUCCUCUGUUCCCAUUUGAACAGGACCAUGUGUCUCUUGUACUCUUCUGCAUCACUUUGUACUCAGCAACCUACAUACUUGUCACUGUCUUAUCUUGCUGUGUAACUGAGGUCUGAUUCUGAAAAGGCCCAGAGUCCCAAUUUUUAACGAGAUUAUUUGGGGAAAAAUGGCAGACAACAUAGGUAUUUCAUAUGAGGAACGUGUAAUAACCAAAUGAUGUUCGUCGACAGCUGUGAGAGGAGAGCCUCUGGUUGGAAGAAGUGGGCUUUCAGAACGUACCCACACAAUUUUUUCUUAACAGUACCAUGUCAAAAUAAAAAUCAGUGAUUAAAAGUGUGCCUUACUUGUGCUGUUAAAAACACUUUUAGAUUGUACACACUGUAAACAGUAAAUAUUUAAUGUACGCGUUUA